AUGCCUCUCCUCCUCCCUCCUCCCCAAUGGCCGGAUCCCAUGGCCGCCGGUCCCCGACACCCAUCCGCAGCGCGGAUCCGCGCCGCCACGAGCGAACCGCUGGCGCGUCCUCGACUCAAGUUCUCGUGGGGCAAGGGGCCGCCGCCAGGGCUAGUGAGUGCGUUGCUGGAUAGGGAGGACCGGGAGGCGAGGGAGCGGAUCACGGCAGAGCCGUCAACGAGGAGUACAUGGCGGACCUUCGCCGCCAGUACCCGAGCUCGUGGAGGCGGAGCACAAGAUCUUCAGGGAACGCGCAACGGAGGGGGGAGGGGGGGUGGUCAUCGACGUCUCAAGCGGCAAGGAGGACGGCGGCGCCGACGAGGAUCUUCCCUGACUGUGGCGACGGUGGCACAGGGCCGGACCCCGUGGGUGGUGGGAUUUCGCGGGUGGAGUAGCUCGCCCUCUACAAGUCCGAAGAUUGAGAUUCACCCAAUAUCCAGAGAGAAACAGAGAAAUUAGAAGACACGGCAGAUCCUGAGUCUCUCCUGGAAAGCAUUCUCAGCAAGGUUGCCCUGACUAAACGUGCGUCGUUUUGGGAUUUGGGGUGGAGUAAGAUGCAUGCAUGAAUGCUCUUUGUUUCUCUGUGAGGAAAGAUUUGUACCAGCCCAAAUUUGAAGCAACAUCAAACCAUGCAAAACUUGGAUUUUCUUUACUCUGUUUCCUCUGCACAACAACAUGAUAAUCUAAGUGUUGUACCCUGAUCAAUCACCAGACAAAGAUCCCACAGCAAAAUGCCAGCAUUGCAAGAUGGCCAAUGCACACGAAAUACAUUGAUCUUUCACUGAACAAACUGAAUUCAAAACUAGUAUUUAAAUUUACAUGUUUUUUAACACUCUGCAGGGGGGAUAUGAACUUACAAGUUAAAACCUAUGGUAAAUGACGGUGCCUCAAUUUCUCUACAACUCACAAAUCUGCUGCAAUAGCUAACAGAAGGCAAGAACCUUCAACUGAACCUCUUUCAGUGCUGGGGAAGACGAGGCAGCAGUGUCAGCUUGGGGAGGAAGAUCUUCAGCUGAGCACGUAUCAACACGUAUCAGCAGCCAAUACUGCAAGAGUUAUGGAAUGACAGCAUGGACGCAUAAUGCAAGGAAGGAAUAAGCAGCAUCAGCUCUCAAGCCUGGCAAGGUAAAAGCUCUUAGGCGAAACAAAAAAUGUUUUGAGAAACAAGCCUUAAAUUUAUCAUCACUGCCAUAAAUUUCCCAGCAGCAAAACAUCUACAAAUAUAUCAGAGAGGCAUUAAGUCCCAGGAUCCGAUCAGUGCCAGGAAACUGUUUAAUGGCCCAAUAUGCUUGUAGCUACCAAAGAAGGACCAUUAGGGACAGUUAGA